UCACUGCAGAGACACACUGUACUCCUUGA
rnacentral:piRNA from 1 species